GCCUGGGUGGCUCAGUCGGUUAAGCUCUGACUUCAGCUCAGGUCAUGAUCUCACGGCUUGUGGGUUCGAACCCCACGUCGGGCU
rnacentral:tRNA from 1 species